rnacentral:rRNA from 1 species
GACGAACGCUGGCGGCGUGCUUAACACAUGCAAGUCGAACGCUGAAGCUCAGCUUUUGUUGGGUGGAUGAGUGGCGAACGGGUGAGUAACACGUGGGUAACCUGCCCCCUUCUUUGGGAUAACGCCCGGAAACGGGUGCUAAUACUGGAUAUUCACUGGUCUUCGCAUGGGGGUUGGUGGAAAGGGUUUUUCUGGUGGGGGAUGGGCUCGCGGCCUAUCAGCUUGUUGGUGGGGUGAUGGCCUACCAAGGCUUUGACGGGUAGCCGGCCUGAGAGGGUGACCGGUCACAUUGGGACUGAGAUACGGCCCAGACUCCUACGGGAGGCAGCAGUGGGGAAUAUUGCACAAUGGGCGCAAGCCUGAUGCAGCGACGCCGCGUGAGGGAUGGAGGCCGUCGGGUUGUGAACCUCUUUCGCUCAUGGUCAAGCCGCAACAAUGGUUGUGGUGAGGGUAGUGGGUAAAGAAGCGCCGGCUAACUACGUG